UAAGGAAUAUUGGUCAAUGGACGCAAGUCUGAACCAGCCAUGCCGCGUGAAGGAUGAAGGUCCUCUGGAUUGUAAACUUCUUUUAUUUGGGAAGAAACCCAUUUUUUCUAGAGUGGUUGACGGUACCAGAUGAAUAAGCCCCGGCUAACUCCGUGCCAGCAGCCGCGGUAAUACGGAGGGUGCAAGCGUUAUCCGGAUUCACUGGGUUUAAAGGGUGCGUAGGUGGGCAGGUAAGUCAGUGGUGAAAUCUCCGGGCUUAACCCGGAAACUGCCAUUGAUACUAUCUGUCUUGAAUAUCGUGGAGGUGAGCGGAAUAUGUCAUGUAGCGGUGAAAUGCUUAGAUAUGACAUAGAACACCAAUUGCGAAGGCAGCUCACUACGCGAAUAUUGACACUGAGGCACGAAAGCGUGGGGAUCAAAC
rnacentral:rRNA from 1 species